UGACCAGACUCCUACGGGAGGCAGCAGUGGGGAAUAUUGCACAAUGGGGGAAACCCUGAUGCAGCGACGCCGCGUGAGUGAAGAAGUAUUUCGGUCUGUAAAGCUCUAUCAGCAGGGAAGAAAAUGACGGUACCUGACUAAGAAGCCCCGGCUAACUACGUGCCAGCAGCCGCGGUAAUACGUAGGGGGCAAGCGUUAUCCGGAUUUACUGGGUGUAAAGGGAGCGUAGACGGCAUGGCAAGUCAGAUGUGAAAGCCCGGGGCCCAACCCCGGGACUGCUCUUGGAACUGCAUGGCUGGAGUACAGGAGGGGCAGGCGGAAUUCCUAGUGUAGCGGUGAAAUGCGUAGAUAUUAGGAGGAACACCGGUGGCGAAGGCGGCCUGCUGGACUGUGACUGACGUUGAGGCCCGAAGGCGUGGGGAGCAAACAGGAUUAGAUACCCGUGUA
rnacentral:rRNA from 1 species